CGCGGGGCAAGCUGGGCGCUGUAGGUCGAGAACGGCUCCUAGGCGCGUAACAGACUGCGGCUCCCAUCGUUCCUUGCGCGGGACCCCGGGGCCGGGGUGGAGAGCGCAGCGCUGCGGUAGCCGCGUUCGAGGCGGGCGGACUAGAAGCUGAAGAGCCGCUGAGCCGCCCUCUCUCCCUCCCCAUCGUGUGGAGCCCUAGAGCGCCCGCAGCUCCCCGGUGCCGGCCGCCAUCUUGUGCUGGUGGGAGCCCAGUGGGGCAUCCGGACUCCCGGCCACGAAGGUGGAGUGCGAGUGGGGCCGCCCCUCUCCUCCCAGCCGCCUGAACCCGCUUCCAUCGCUUCGGGGCCCUGUCGCGGCAGAGGACCCGCCUCGAGAGAGCGGCUUCUCCUCCGCCGCUACCCCCUGCCACAGGCCUGCCGCCGCCGCACCCGUCUAGAGCCAGCUACACUCUGAUCUGUAGGUGCUGCGAGCAGGAGCACACGCCUCUUCCUCCAUACCCGCUUCACCCAUAGUCUGCAUAGGUCCUGCCGCCGCAACAGCAGCAAACAGGAGCAGCCCCACAGAAGGGGAAGCCGUGUCCACCGCAGCAGGACUUGCACUGCCCUAGAACUAAUGCCACCAUCGCCUAGAGGAGGCGGGUCCUCCUAACGGAGCCCUGCCCGGGCUCCAAGGGCCAGGUCCUUGCCUCUUUACUCCACCCAGCCUGGAGAGACACUCUUACCACCCUAAUCUAGGGAGGAGACAUUUCUUCCCGCCCCCACGCUUGUGCCUCUUCCCCUGAACUAGAAAAACAGAUCAGGUGCUGCUGCUAUCCCAGACCUUGAGGAGACGCCCACUGACUGAACUCUGCUGCUCUCUACCACCCACGAGCCCGACGCACCAGAUCAGGAGAUAGAGACCCAGCCCUGACAAGCUGCUGACACUUCCCGCCCCAUCAGGAGAGAGAGAGAGAAAGAGACCCAUUCAGAGGUGCUGCUCCUGCUCCACGCAUCCACCGAUAUCAGGAGAGGAAGCUACGCAGAGCUAUUACAACUGCAAAGACAUGAAGAUCAAGGAUGCUAAGAAACCAUCUUUUCCAUGGUUUGGCAUGGACAUUGGGGGAACACUGGUGAAACUUGCAUAUUUUGAACCUAUUGAUAUCACUGCAGAAGAGGAGCAGGAGGAAGUUGAAAGCUUGAAGAGCAUCCGCAAAUAUUUGACUUCCAAUAUAGCCUAUGGAUCCACUGGUAUUCGAGAUGUCCACCUUGAACUGAAAGACUUGACGCUUUUUGGCCGAAGGGGAAACUUGCACUUUAUUCGAUUCCCAACUCAUGACUUGCCUACUUUUAUCCAAAUGGGAAGAAAUAAAAACUUUUCAACACUACACACGGUGCUUUGUGCCACUGGAGGUGGCGCUUAUAAGUUUGAAGAAGAUUUUCGCACAAUUGGAAACCUCCAGUUGCACAAACUGGAUGAGCUUGACUGUCUUGUCAAAGGCCUGUUGUAUAUAGACUCUGUCAGUUUCAAUGGCCAGGCAGAGUGCUAUUACUUUGAAAAUGCCUCAGAACCUGAAAGAUGCCAAAAGAUGCCUUUUAACUUGGAUGACCCAUACCCGUUACUGGUUGUAAACAUUGGUUCAGGAGUCAGUAUUUUAGCAGUCCAUUCAAAAGACAGCUAUAAGAGAGUGACUGGAACAAGUUUAGGUGGAGGGACGUUUCUGGGUUUAUGCAGUUUAUUGACUGGUUGUGAAAGUUUUGAAGAAGCUCUUGAAAUGGCAUCCAAAGGGGACAGUACACAUGCUGAUAAGCUUGUCCGGGACAUUUAUGGAGGGGACUAUGAACGUUUUGCCUUGCCAGGAUGGGCAGUAGCCUCUAGUUUUGGGAAUAUGAUCUACAAAGAGAAGAGAGAAUCUGUUAGUAAAGAAGACCUGGCUAGAGCUACACUGGUCACGAUCACCAAUAAUAUUGGGUCUAUAGCACGGAUGUGUGCAGUAAAUGAGAAAAUAAACAGAGUUGUCUUUGUUGGUAACUUUUUGCGUGUGAACACUUUGUCAAUGAAGCUUCUUGCAUAUGCACUGGAUUACUGGUCAAAAGGCCAGCUGAAGGCCUUGUUCCUAGAACAUGAGCCUAAAGGUCCAGUCCAAAGUAUAGCUGGCUCUGUUCAGGCCUGAAGAAUACCUUUGAGAAACUUAAGGUGGAGAGUUAAGUGCUGAACUGCUGCCUCAGAGGGAUACUUUGGUGCUGUUGGUGCUCUUCUUGGAUUGCCAAAUUUCAGUUGAAGUACCAGAUGCCACUACACUGAAUUGUUUUCCACUUGGUUGGCAUUACUACUACAUUGUUUAAGUUAACGGGAACCAAAGGAGGAAGAAGAGCAGUUUUGCUGCAGUUGUUUUUAAAUUUUAAGUGGUAAACUGCUGGAUGUUACCAUGUUAAGGAAGUGGGAUCUUGCUGUGUAAGGCAUUUUUAAGUGAAAUACCUGUGGGUUUUGCCUUAUGAUCUCCAGUGCUUGUAGCCAGUUUUGAACUUCUAAUAUGCAAUACAUCCUCUGAAAAACAAGCUUCCAAAAGAGAAUUCCAGCCCUUUUAGGUGUCCAUCAUUUACAAUAGUGUGGACUUCAACAUGAAGCUUUAGUUCUAAGCAAAUAUCUUUUGCAGAUAAUCUGGUGAAAGUGGUUUAUUUUGAUGUUUGUGUUUUUGUCUCACUACUACAUUGUACUAAGAGCGGAAUUGUAUGUUUAAGACAAUUGACCUGAAAACACCAAAGUGCCAUCAACAGAAAGUAAAGCUUUGUAGUGUAGAAGAUCAUUUCUCAGUAUGACAGCAUAAAGUGUUACAGCACUUAAUAUGUUCCAGUAAUUGCAGAAUUUUAAUGUCUAAUGGGAAAAUACCUAAUUUAGUUUUUUAGCAAGUAUAUUAAGUGAAAAUACAGUACUGCAUUUCCACAUAUCUGUACUCUUGUGAAGCUUUACAUUUGUUCAGUUCAUUUAUUGAAAGGUAGAUAUGGUAUUUUGGGAAGAUCCCUUUGGAUUAGGUUCAUGAUUCAAGGAACAGUAAGCCUUUAGAAAAGGCAUCUGACUGACUUCCAAAAUUCCAUGACCUUACAUUCUAAAUCACAAAAUUUUGAUUUCAUUCUCCUCUACUUGUGAAAGUCACCACAAAACUUGCAGAGUGUAUCUACCCAAAAGAGGCCUGGAACUAAAAUUAUUUCAGCUUGUAAUUCCGUUGCUUUGGCAUAUCUUUUUGAGGAAGCUUGUACAAAUUCUGUCCCUGCUCUACCGAUCUGAAAACAUUUAGUCCUUCAUUUCAUUAAUCUUAAACAAGAUAUUUCACUUCUAAUAGUCUCAAAUCUAGGUGGAUGAUUUUAAUUUUUCUUGUUUUUGAGUUGGAAGUUUGUUUUUGUGGCUCCAGAGUUUGUAUUGCAGAGUCAAAAGGACCAGUGUUUAGUAUACUUUGUUAAACAAUUCCCAUUAUUGCAAACUGUGGCCUUGGGAUAAACUCCAUAUUCUGAGACUAGCCUUUGUUUUGUCUACAUACUGUGUUCUCAGACUAUUUUAAAUUUUACAAUAAUUGUUUUACUGUGAAGUGUUGCUGCUGCCAGGAGAUAAAGGCUUUAGACUAGAAAGACUUGUCAGAAGUCAAGCCAGCUAUGUAUGUCAGUGUAUUUUUUUUUUAGUGUACCUCAGAAGAAAUACUCAAUUUUGCAGUAAGUAAAUUAAUGUUAAGUAUUUCCUGUAUAUGCAUAAAAAGCUAUUUCUGACUAGAACUCAUUGAUAUGUUGGAAUUAAACCUGUUUUUUAAAUGGAUAUGACUCUGAAUCAAGUAAAUGAGUAAGUAUUCAAGAACAUUGCUAUGUUGCAUUACAGCAGCAUCUGAACUUCUUAGCCACAUUACCUUUCCACAUAAUGUGCAUAAAGGGGACUGACAAUAGUAAGUAAAAAAUUACUCUUUCAGGGGUUUGGGGUGUUUUUGUUUUAGUUGAAAUUCCAGAAAAUUUCCUAAGGCCAGAAGUGCAGUGACUCUUAGGGGUGAGAAGGAGGCCAUUUCAUUCAACCCAGCGCAAUGCCAACUUCAAAUAUAGUUUGUCAUUGCUGCUGAGUACCUAAGGUAAAUUUCCAUUGUGAAGACUUUUAAAUUGAGGCUUCAGUCUGAAAAGAAAUAGAAUCAUUUCUAGAACUAUGCUUAUCAUUGAGCAAAGGCAGCAUCAAUCUACGAAGCAAGUUGGUACAGCUUGGGUAAAGUGUGUCUUUAUGAAAGUGGCCAAGUUUUACCAUGACUGAGUGUAAAAUCUAGUAGCUUAGUUUAGUUUGCAUUAACAGCCAGUAAUAGGAAGAAGUAAUUUAGAUUUGUUUCUUCUCUGAACUUUUCACAGAGAGAUUAUUUAAAGACUUACUUUUCUGCAGGUUGUAUUAGCCUGAUACAAAGUUUCACACCCCAGAUGCUUACCUUUCCCGAGGGACGGAGACUUAAUACUUCAGCAUCACAUCAUGCAGUUUGGCAAAAAACACUUUAGUUAGUCCAUAUCCGUUGUCAUAGAUUACUUCUUCCAUAUACAUCUUGUACUACUGGAGCAUAAACUGAGAGUUGCUUUUGAAGCAAUAUUUCGUAGAUUGUAUAUUUUGACCUGAAGAUAUUGAAAGUAAGUUGAGCUAAAAUAUUCUUCUUCCAGUUCUGUAGCAAGGCAGUCUGAGAGACAUGACCUUCAUAAAUUCAAGAAAUAUUUGAUGUAGCCUGUGAUCAUUUUUGAAGUUAACAUGGACACCGGAAUAAAUUCAUAAGUAAUUCUCGAAUAGCUGUAUUGCAUAUGCUAUUAGUAUUUCUCAUGAGAAAUAAGAUGCAUGUCCAACCUUUAUAUAUUUCUUUCCUUCAACUCUGGAAAAAGUCUGGCUGGCCUUUUUUUAGUUUCUUCUGCAUAAUUUGGUUGUUUCUUCUUACCCCCCACCAUUCUCCCAGAGACUACCAGCAGAGCUUUCUAGCUCUCCUAUAAGUGCACCCCUUGAGAUCCAUCCUAACAGAGGGUUAUUGGUCUUUUUGCUGGAGAGUGUUCAGGCACAAUUGCUGAGGUUUAUUUGGUUAUUUUUUUCCAAAAACUUACAAAUACACCUUUUUGUCAUCCAAGAGUUCCCAGAGAUUGACUGGCCCUUUAGUGGGGUCACUAAGAAUUGUAAGUACAAAUGAAAGGAGCUUUAAAUUUCUUCAUCUAGACCUUUGUAUACAGACCAAAAGAACCUUGCCAGGGCUCCCUUUAGAGUGAAUUGCUGAAGUAGAUUAAUUUCUUGCUUGUCAAAAUAAAACCAUUGAAGAUAUUGGCAUUCCUUUGUUUCAAUGCUACUUAUAGUUUCCUUACAGUAAAGGAACUCAAACAAGUGGUCACAUGCCAUAGCAGAAGAAGUUCAACAACUUUCUUUGCAAGCUUGUGAAUCUUCUUGGCUAAUGCUAACUUCUCAAAGAGGGAACCACUUUCUUCAAGUAGAGGUUUUUCCCCUUGAAAGAAAAAGGCAAAGCUCAUUCUCAGUGUAGCGGGUCUCAGAUCAAGCAGCCAGAUGAGUGCCUUCAGUUUCUCAUGUGAUGCCAAUGAUGUUAGUUUUACUUGCACUGCAACUUCAUGUUUGAGCAUUGAUACCAGUAAUACUUUUGUCACCCCAGACUGUUUACUGUAGAUGUGGACAAUAAUUGUAUCAGCAUUUUAGAUGAGCCGCUAGGCCAGUCAAGAAGACGGUAUGAGCUUUCUGACCUCCCAGCUUCAUGGCAAGCUAGUCUACUCUUUUGUUGGAGUAGUUUUGCCUACCAGUUUGUCUCCUCCCCGCCCUCGCAUUGGAUUUGUCCAUGCGUUAUGUCAGAAUGUUUAGCAUGUCGUUGUGUCUCUGCAAUGAUGCUUGUUUUUUGUUCCACAAGUACAGGCUGUUUCUGGAUGCUUCAUUUUUAUAUGAAGAUAUUAUGCACUGGUUGGUAUGGCUAACAAACCUCUAACCACUCUCAACACCUUUCUAGUUGGGCUUAAGGUAACUACACUUUAAGGAACUCCUUUGCUACAUAUUUUGGAUCUUUAAAUGUAAGACCAAAUCUAGAAUACUGGCAUUAUGUUUUUCUGUUGUCUUUUUUUUUUUUUUUUUUAAAUGAAUCUAAUAGUAUUGCCACUUGUAUAAACAACUUUUCUAUAAAGCAUCAUUCCAUUUAGAAUCUGGGAAUGUAAAGACCCUGGACAGAACAGUUUUUCCAUUUUUUUUUUUGACAUUAAGAGUUUUGCUUGCAGUGACAUGCAUCUAGCAACAAAGCACUUAUGAAGCGUCAAUACCACAUGCAGUGCUAUUUAAAUUUUUGGUAUUAAGAGAGUUGGAAGUCAGGCUGUGUUACCCAUUUUCAAUCUCUAAGGGAUACUUAAGAAAUGCUUAACAAUGCUGGUUCUUCAACUAAUACUUAGUUGUAUUGAGAAGUUCUAUUCCUAUUGCAUUCAGGUGGUUGGUAGUAUACAUCUUGUAUAUACAUGUAAGGUAUUCCUUGCCUUUUUAGUGUGAGGAGGAUAAACAGCCUUAAUUAUAUUACAAUUUUUUAUAUUCUACCUGAACUAGUGUAGAUAUUUAAUAAAGCACCGCAUUUUUGGGAGUUUUUUUAAAGAAGCUGGCCCAUUCUAAAUAACUGUGGCAAUAAGUUAGAUUUCCUAAUGUUUUAGGAUAGCUGUCGGAGUUAAAUAUUUGAAAGUAUUUCAGGGUGCUUGCACUUAGAGCAAAGUUGUGCUCUUUAAAGACUAAUCAGUGUCUUCUGUUUAUUCAUCAUAUAAUCUUUCAUGCCUUUACUGUUCUGUAAAUAUCUCAUUAUAAAAUCUCUGUAAAUGAAUUGUUGGUAUCCUAAGGAGACAAAUUAGUUUAGUUCAUAACAGAAUUGGAAACAAGAUGGUCUUGUACUGAUUAAUUCAAGCAAAACAAGUAUUGAGGUUGAACCAGUGCAGCUAAAUAGAUGUAACCCACUUUCUCCUGCAUCUAAUUUAAUGUGCAGUCAAGCUGGCUAUUUCUUAUGUUCAUGUUCUCCUUAUGAAACAGAUAUUUCUCUCUUUCCCACAUACAGGUAUUUAGAAAACCUGCAAUGUGUACAAUUGUUGGGUUUCGUUUGGAUUAAGGAAUUUACACAAUAUUGAGGAUCAUACAAAGUAUUAUCUAGCUGUGUCUUUUACAGAAAUAGGUCGACAAGCAUGUUUUAUAAAUACAGUUUAAGAUAAAUUUUGAUAAAAUUCUUCCCCUUCAGGCUAAAGCAAUGUGGCACAAGGAAUAUUAAUCCACCAGCUCAUUAAGAAUAGAGUUGGUGGAUUAAUUGUCUGCAAAAACUUAAUCAAGCUUAUGGAAGUUUGUGUUUGAUAUGGAGCUGAUUGGGGGGGUGGGAGGAAAGGGGAGGCACCAAGAUGUCUUCUCACAGCACAGAGAUAAUUUCCCCACUUAUAGUCCACAAAACGCUUAAGUGCAUAUUACUUAAACCCUCUUGAUCAGUUGUAUGUGGCUUUUCUUGUCAAUAUAUUCCAAAUAUUGUUACCCGUAUUCUAAAAUUUAAUAAUACCUUUAAAGAAGACUUGAAGAUAAAGAACAUAAAGUCUGCAAACAAGCCUGUUUUCCAAGAUGUUUACCUGCUUAGAUCUCUGACAUGUAUCGCUGUAUUAUUGUAACACUGACUGCCAAAUCCUGCUUGUCUUAGUUACUAAGUAGUCUGUUGGUUUAAAUGGAACUACUCUUAGUAGGAAUGAAACAUUUGGCCCCAAGAUUCUUUUUAAAAAGCCAUUCAGAUGGGGAAAACUGUAGUGCUACUUUGCAUAUUUCUGCUGGUGCUAAAUGAAUUCAAAAAUUUAGAAUCAAAAUAAGUUGAAAAUAGAAUUAAUAUUUAUGGCCUGGUCCUUUUGACAGACUUGAAGUUUGUCAAGUUGUAAAGAUUUCUCAUGGCCUUAUGUUGAGCUUCCUUUUUUAUGUAUUUGGAUUGAAAUUCAUUAACGUCAAGACAUUCAUGGAGCUGGUUUUUUGUGCUGCUUUCUGUAAAGCAGGUUACAUUCCACUUGUUCAUUUUAUGACAUGGAUCACUUUCCAUUUCUAGAAUUUCAAUUUUAAAACUAGCUUUAGAUGUUAAUCUUAUACUUUCCCAUGCUUUGUCAUUGUAGCUAUUUAGAGUAGAUGAAGUUUUAGUACCAACUACUGUGGGCUCACCAUGCAUGUGUCCUGUGUUAGCACUUCAAAAAACAGCCAUUACUGUAAGUAUUUACCAUUUUUGUUGAAAAUUGUGAGUAUUUAAAGUUAAUUUUAAAGGUAUAACUUGUUAAGUAGUCCUAUCCAUAAAAUAAACUGAAAUAGGGUUUCUGAAUUGUUAAUCUGGAAUAACAGUUUUAAUCUGUUCAAAUUUCACUAUUCCUUCAGCAUGGAUGUUUUAGACCUUUGUAAAUACAAAGUCUUUAAGCAGUUACAUUGGUUUCAGAUUGAACAUUAGAAAAGACUCGUUUUAAACAGAUUUUUGUAGGAAAUGAGGAUGUUUGGGG